rnacentral:rRNA from 1 species
AAGCAUGAGGGGCAAACAGGAUUAGAUACCCUGGUAGUCCAUGCCGUAAACGAUGUCGAUUUGAAGAUUGUAGUCUGUUUAAGUUAUGGCUUUCGAAACUAACGCGUUAAAUCGACCACCUGGGGAGUACGACCGCAAGGUUAAAACUCAAAUGAAUUGACGGCGGUCCGCACAAGCGAUGGAGCAUGUGGUUUAAUUCGAUGCAACACGAAGAACCUUACCUACUCUUGACAUCCAAAGAACCGUGUAGAGAUACACGAGUGCCUUAGGGAACUUUGAGACAGGUGUUGCAUGGCUGUCGUCAGCUCGUGUUGUCAAAUGUUGGGUUAAGUCCCGCAACGAGCGCAACCCUUGUCCUUUGUUGUCAACGAGUUAAAUCGGGAACUCAAAGGAGACUGCCGGUGAUAAACCGGAGGAAGGUGAGGAUGACGUCAUGUCAUCAUGGCCCUUAUGAGUAGGGCUACAAACGUGCUACAAUGGCGUAUACAAAGAGAAGCAACCUCGCGAGAGUCAGCAAAUCUCUAAAGUGCGUCUUAGUCCGGAUUGGAGUCUGCAACUCGACUCUAUGAAGUCGGAAUCGCUAGUAAUCGUGGAUCAGAAUGUCACGGUGAAUACGUUCCCGGGCCUUAUACACACCGCCCGUCACACCAUGGAAGUGGGUUGCAAAAGAAGUGGGUUGCUUAAGCUUAGGGAGGGCGCUUACCACUUUGUGAUUCAUGACUGGGGUG